GAUGAACAAGCUCACAUCCUUAACACAGAGAUGCCCAGUAUUAGUUCUACUAUUACUGCAGAGGGAAGUCAUUCCUGCUAUACUUCUGAAACUGAAAUUGUAACAACAGCCAUGAAAAGUGCUCUUCAUGUAAGAUAUCAGAGUGAAAUUGAAGUGGGAAAGAAACAAUUAGUUACCAUAAAACAUAAUAGCUGCAGUUCCUGCUUCUAUAGCUGGUCAUAAAGCCUA
rnacentral:lncRNA from 1 species